rnacentral:rRNA from 1 species
CUGUUGCUUGAAGAUGAGCUCGCGUCCUAUCAGCUAGUUGGUGAGGUAAUGGCUCACCAAGGCACUUGACGGGUAGCUGGUCUGAGAGGAUGUUCAGCCACACUGGGACUGAGACACUGCCCAGACUCCUACGGGAGGCUGCAGUCGAGAAUCUUUGGCAAUGGGCGAAAGCCUGACCAUGCGACGCCGCGUGAGGGAUGAAGGUCUUCGGAUUGUAAACCUCUGUCACGGGGGAGGAACAGUAAUGAAGUAAAUAGCUUCAUUAUUUGACAGUACCCCGAGAGGAAGCCACGGCCAACUCCGUGCCAGCAGCCGCGGUAAUACGGAGGUGGCAAGCGUUGUUCGGAUUUACUGGGUGUAAAGAGCGUGUAGGCGUUUUGACAAGUUAGAGGUGAAAUCCCUCGGCUCAACCGAGGAACUGCCCCUAAUACUGUCAGAAUUGAGUUUGGGAGAGGAGAGUGGAAUUUCCGGAGUAAGGGUGAAAUCUGUAGAUACCGGAAAGAACACCAGUGGCGAAGGCGACUCUCUGGCCCAAAACUGACGCUGAGACGCGAAAGCCAGGGGAGCGAACAGGAUUAGAUACCCUGGUAGUCCUGGCCGUAAACGAUGGGCACUAGGUGUCGGUUCUUAUAGGAUCGGUGCUGCAGUUAACACAUUAAGUGCCCCACCUGGGGAGUACGUCGGCAACGAUGAAACUCAAAGGAAUUGACGGGGGCCCGCACAAGCGGUGGAGCAUGUGGUUUAAUUCGAUGCUACGCGAAGAACCUUACCAGGGCUUGACAUGCAGGAAGUAGGAGUCCGAAAGGAUAACCACUCGUCAAAUCGGGAACCUGCACAGGUGCUGCAUGGCUGUCGUCAGCUCGUGUCGUGAGAUGUUGGGUUAAGUCCCGCAACGAGCGCAACCCUUACUAUUAGUUGCUAACGGAUUAUGCUGAGCACUCUAAUGGGACUGCCAGUGAUAAACUGGAGGAAGGUGAGGAUGACGUCAAGUCAGUACGGCCCUUAUGUCCUGGGCGACACACGUGCUACAAUGGUCAGUACAAUGGGCAGCAAGACCGCGAGGUGGAGCGAAUCCCAAAAAGCUGGCCCCAGUUCGGAUUGGAGGCUGCAACUCGCCUCCAUGAAGUCGGAAUCGCUAGUAAUGGCAGGUCAGCUAUACUGCCGUGAAUACGUUCCCGGGCCUUGUACACACCGCCCGUCAAGUCAUCCGAGUUGAAUGCACCCGAAGCCACUGACUCAAUCCCGAGCAAUCGGGAAGGGAGGUGUCGAAGGUGUGUUUAGUAAGGGGGACUAAGUCGUAACAAGGUAACC